AGGCCUUAAACUUAUGAGUAAAGAAACUUAUGAUUCGGGGUGAUGCCCAAAUCCUCACUGCUAAUGUAAGAUGAAUUUUUGAGCUGGUAGAGGUUUUCCCUAAAGUGACCCACCUACAUUGCGAUGCCUGGGAAUCGCAAUCUGCCCA